AGCUUUAUAGUCAAUAAUGACAUCAGACUGCAAUUCUGAAGGAGUAGGAACUACUAAGGCUU
rnacentral:tRNA from 1 species